rnacentral:lncRNA from 1 species
GCUGCCAUGGCUGCUUCCAGCUUCCGUUUCCACUUAGCCUCCCAGCCCAGGAACCGGAGCAUGGCAAAGCCCAAGAUGGUAAUGAGAAAGGCGGCGAUCCACGAGAUAACACCUUUAAACAUAGCACGUUUUUUCCCAGAAAAGAGGUUAUCUCGGGCCGUGUAAUAUAUGGCGAUGAAGAUCACGCCAAAUACUAUGCUGACACCGACGCCGGCGGCGACCCCAUACCAAACUGCGCAGGAAGAACGGAAGAGUUAACUGAGCGGCGCAUUCAGGCAUGAGAAGGUCAGGCAUUCCGAGGUGGUGGUGCACGGCUAACUAUCAUGCGAUCGGGCUUCCGCGCCGGCUGGCAGUUGGUCGUCGCAAUUAGGUCAUGACGGGGAACUAAGCACUCUCUU